AUUGAACGCUGGCGGCAGGCCUAACACAUGCAAGUCGAGCGGAGCGGCGGACGGGUGAGUAAUGCCUAGGAAUCUGCCUGGUAGUGGGGGAUACCGUCCGGAAACGGGCGCUAAUACCGCAUACUAUCAGAUGAGCCUCGGUCGGAUUAGCUAGUUGGUGGGGUAAAGGCCUACCAAGGCGACGAUCCGUAACUGGUCUGAGAGGAGGAUCGGUCCCACUGGAACGGGAGCACGGUCCAGACGCGUACGGGAGGCAGCAGUGGGGAAUAUUGGACAAUGGGCGAAAGCCGGAUCCAGCCAUGCCGCGUGUGUGAAGAAGGUCUUCGGAUUGUAAAGCACUUUAAGUUGGGAGGCGUUACCAACAGAAUAAGCACCGGCUAACUCCGUGCCAGCCGCCGCGGUAAUAC
rnacentral:rRNA from 1 species